UCCAGAGGUCUCAAGCGUUGUUCGGAUUCAUUGGGCGUAAAGGGUGCGUAGGCUGCGGGGUAAGUCGGGUGUGAAAUCUCAGGGCUCAACCCUGAAACUGCACUCGAUACUGCUCUGCUUGAGUACUGGAGAGGAGACUGGAAUUCACGGUGUAGCAGUGAAAUGCGUAGAUAUCGUGAGGAAGACCAGUGGCGAAGGCGGGUCUCUGGACAGUUCCUGACGCUGAGGCGCGAAAGCUAGGGGAGCAAACGGG
rnacentral:rRNA from 1 species